CUUUCAAAUGCACUAGGCAUUAAAAGAUAACACGUUCGCUGGAAAAGGAACUGCGUUGGUGACAUUAAUGGAGUUUGAAGAUGUGACUAUAGCAUUUAGAAUGAUGAUUGACCAGCCAACAUCACCAUAUGGAUUUGAUGUUUAAUGUCAUUGAAAACGAUACGUGGUUUUGUUGGAAGAUAAAAAAAAAAAAAAAGAAACAGAUUAGGUUAACAAGGCAAGAAAAAUAUGUGUUUUUGCAGAAUUUAUUAAGAUGUGAGAAACAAUACCACAGUCUUUGUAAAUGUUGGAAAUCAGCUCUCCGAUUGUGAAUUGCGGCC
rnacentral:lncRNA from 1 species